rnacentral:rRNA from 1 species
AUACAGAGGGGGCAAGCGUUAUUCGGAAUUAUUGGGCGUAAAGGGCGCGUAGGCGGCCUGACAAGUGGAAGGUGAAAUCCCUCGGCUUAACCGAGGAACUGCCCUCCAAACUGUCUGGCUUGAGACCGGGAGAGGGGAGUGGAAUUCCAAGUGUAGAGGUGAAAUGCGUAGAUAUUGGGAGGAACAACAGUGGCGAAGGGGGCUCACUGGACCGGUACGGACGCUGAGGCGCGAAAGCGGGGGGAGCAAACGGUAUUAGAUACCCCGGUAGUCCACGCCGUAAACGAUGAAUGCUUGGUGUAGCGGGUAUCGACCCCUGCUGUGCCGAAGUCAACACAUUAAGCAUUCCGCCUGGGGAGUACGGUCGCAAGGCUGAAACUCAAAUGAAUUGACGGGG